rnacentral:lncRNA from 1 species
ACCUUUUGUGAAAAAUCUUUACCUUGAGUGGAGUUGAGAAUAAUUGAAUGGUAUUGAUAAAGGUUCAACUUUGGGGUUAUUGGGAGAAUUGAAAGGCAAAAGGAAAGUAGGGAGUUAAUGUGUUGAAUGAAAAAGCAUGAGAAAAGAUAGAAAAGAAAAGAAAAGAACAACAUGAAAGAUAAGCUCAAUGCAAAAGUUAAAGAAAAAGGGAAAAGUUAGGAAUAAGUGAGAUUGGUUGCAAGAGAGUUGGUGCUUGAACUAUGAAUGUUGAAUAACUCUCUUAACUCAAGGAUUUUGUUAUCUAGAAAAACCAAUUUUUCUUAUUAGCCCAACCUCAUUAUAAGCCUUGAAAAGUCCUUGUGUUGGCCUUUGUGUGUAAGAAUGUUGAUUGUAAUAGAUGAAGGGCAAUCUUGUUUCAUGUGACAUGUGGAUAGUAGAGGGAAGGAGUGACCUCCUGAAACACUUGAGUGAUUGAGUGAAACACUUUUCCUGGAAAGGAUGUCUGAAAUUCAUGAUUACAUCUAUGCUUAGUUAAAUGAUCAUUCAUAAGAAUAACAUUUGUUGGAAAGUAUGUGAUUAUGUGAGCACUAUGAAGUUGGAAUAAAUUGAAGCAUGUGUGCAUCUUGAUGAGAUUCCAUUGAAAAGUUGAAUUGAGUAAUUACUUGUUGUGGAAGAAUGAGUGAUGGGUUGUCGCAACCCACACAAAUUUGAUGUGCAUUAAAAAUGCAGUAUAGUGCUAGGAAGUGACUCCUAGGUCGUCUCUCAAGGACCAAACUGUGGUACGAGAAUCAGGUCAAACUCGAAGGGGGGGGGGUUGUGAAAGGUUUGUGACUGCAGAUGAAUUAAAUCAAAACGCGGAUGCAAACAAAAAUGUAUAACUGAAAUGCAGACAGAAACAUAAAAACGGAAUCAAAUACAGAAUAAAAAUGGUCGGUCAUUAACUCAAUCACUAUGCUUCCAAUCACAGAUUAACGACAACUAUUCACUCCUCUAAUCCAAAUCCGACACGAACCACCCAACUAAGCGAAGGCUAAUUCGGUCUUCAAACUUACAGACUAAGCGAAUGCAAUGCACAAAUUUAAUCAGUCAUCCACCAUGCAGUCUAAUCAACUAAGCAAAGAAUUGACAUCGAUUAGGCAACUAAGCGUAUACCUAAUCGCAGGCAGACAACAGAUUAAAUAUUGAGCAAAAUCAAAGCAGCAGUAUGGCAAUUAAAGUUCAAAAGUCUCAUGGAAACAAAGUAAUUUUAUUGAUGACCAAUCCGACUAACCUAAGCUAACAUCAGAAUUAAAUUAUCACCACCGAACACACUAGACAUCAUUAAAGUAAAUGAAAAUGUUAAUCCUAACACCCUAAACCCUAAACCCUAAACCCUAAACCCUAAACCCUAAACCCUAAAAGUGCAUCCUUUAGUAAGUGGCGGCUGGUUGCCCUUUACAAAGGCCAAGUGUCUUCCAAAAAUAGGGUGGGGUCCACCCUAAAAGAAAAAGAAACCCUAGGCCAUGUGUCCUCUAC